AAACCCCACUACUAGAAAACUCAGCUUUAGCGACCAAUUUAGAGACCGAUUUUGAUGAAAAUCGGUCUCUAAAUCCAUUAGCGACCGAAAUAGCGACCGAAAAAAAUCGGCAUCAAUGACCCUGGUCGCUGAUCAGUGGUGACCACCCCAGCGACCGAUUUUGUAGCGACUGAAUAGUUGUUUGAUUGCAAUUUCUUGUUGCUAUUGUUUCCUUUUCUGUUUCUGGUGCUGUGUUGCAAAGAGAUUAUUGCAAUUUCCAUAUUAUUAUUAUUAUUAUUAUUAUUAUUUUCUCUUCUAGUUGUUGUGUAGUGAUGAGAGAUGUUGAGUUGAGUAUAAUUUUAAUUUGUUGGAAUAUUACAUAUUCUCUUUUUUCCACAUUUUAACAGUUUUUAAUUUGGUGGAUUAGUAUCUAUUUUAAAUUAUUCUUAUAAUAUAAUUUUGGGGAAGCAACUUUAUACAUAGAGGCUAUGAAUCUUAUGAUGAUUACUAUGGUUUUGGUUCUGUGUUUUUUACUCUAUUAUCAUUACAGGUUCACAGGAAAUUGGACCUUAUCUUGUGGUUGGUUUACAUAUCUGAUAAUGCUAUAUUAGGCUUUCAUUAUCAUUUAUUAAUACUCUGCAACUCAUAAUAAUAAGUGUAUUACUGUUGUAAUGCAGCCACAACAAUUAUCACAAUAGAUGAUAAGUAUUGCUUUGUCCUGGUUUGUUGUUGUUAGUUUUGGGAGAUUGUUUCGUUUUAGUUUGUUUGAAAAGAUCGAAGCAUGCCGUUUGUGUUUUCCUUGCUAUAGGGUGUUAUUCAAGAACUGGUUGUUUAGUUCCAGUUCUUCCUUUAUAUACCAGUUCAAAUCAGUUUGGUUUUGCGAGAGGUCAAGGUGAUGGACUCUCAAAAUAUGUCAAGUUUGAAAGAAAUUGGUUUUUGAUAAUAAUGUCUUUCUUUUAUUUGAUAACAUACCUUAAUUAAUUAAGAUAGUAACGUGUUUGCAAAUUAGUCUCAUCUGAUAUUUAGAUUUUGUUGUGUUGUUUAGUGUCAUGUUAUUUUGCAUUUGAAUUAUAUCUCUCAAUGCUACAUAUAUAGACCCUUAGUAAGUUGAUUAAUAUGUUUGAAUUAUUAAUUAUAUCUCUCGUGAUUUUAGGCCGUACAAAAUGCUGCUUAUAAGCUGAUUGGCAUGUUGUCUAUAUAGUGUGCAAUAUGUCACAAUCUACGGAAGUUGUUCAUGAGUGUUGGAAAAGUGAACUUCACAUGUCUAUAUAACUGGUUUAUAUAGAAUUAGAAGAGUCUGCAACUCUGCAUCAAUAUACUUUGUUGGAACUGAAGUUUUACAUUGAGAAAAGUAUUAUUGACUAGACAUUCACAUAUUCAUUAUUGUGUUGGUUCUUAGUGUGUGUUAGAAUUGUAAUUAGUUUGUAGUUAGUUUAGUUACUUAUUUCUUCAUGAGUGAUAUUAUACCCCUUAAAUUAGUUUGUAAAUUUGUUCUUAUGUAAUUUAAAUUGGGCAAAAUAAAUUACUCUCAUUUGGAUAUUUG